UACGUAGGUGGCGAGCGUUGUCCGGAUUUACUGGGCGUAAAGAGCGCGCAGGCGGUCGUUCAAGUCGGAUGUGAAAGCCCCCGGCUCAACUGGGGAGGGUCAUUCGAUACUGAUCGACUCGAAGGCAGGAGAGGGAAGCGGAAUUCCCGGUGUAGUGGUGAAAUUCGUAGAUAUUGGGAAGAACACCGAUGGCGAAGGCAGCCAUCUGGACCGACACUGACGCUGAGGCGCGAAAGCGUGGGGAGCAAACAGG
rnacentral:rRNA from 1 species